UGGGGAAUUUUGGACAAUGGGGGCAACCCUGAUCCAGCCAUGCCGCGUGAGUGAAGAAGGCCUUCGGGUUGUAAAGCUCUUUCGGCGGGGACGAAACGGUCCGUGACAACACCACGGACUAAUGACAGUACUCGCAGAAGAAGCACCGGCUAACUACGUGCCAGCAGCCGCGGUAAUACGUAGGGUGCAGGCGUUAAUCGGAAUUACUGGGCGUAAAGCGUGCGCAGGCGGCUCCUUAAGUCAGAUGUGAAAUCCCCGGGCUUAACCUGGGAACUGCGUUUGAAACUGAGGGGCUAGAGUGUGGAAGAGGGGGGUGGAAUUCCAGGUGUAGCAGUGAAAUGCGUAGAGAUCUGGAGGAACACCGAUGGCGAAGGCAGCCCCCUGGGCUAACACUGACGCUCAUGCACGAAAGCGUGGGGAGCAAACAGGAUUAGAUACCCUAGUAGUCCCUGAGCGGGCUGGCAAGGCGCAU
rnacentral:rRNA from 1 species